AUUUCCUGAGUGCAAUUCCUUGCUUUAAGAGUCUGUAUUUUCAUGCUUAGGCUUUUAGACCAGCUGCCAAAAGUCAAUGUUUCUCUCUUGUGACAUCUUUUUGGAGUGUUACAUAACAUUGAGCAACAUUCCUCAUCCAAUCAGAUGACAGCUUAUAAUUUAGCCAUGUGUAUAGCCCAAACAUUCUUUACCUGUCUACUUCCUGCAACUCAGAAGUAGUAAAUGAGUUCACCAAAAAGAUAAUGAGAUGUCUCAUUUUUAUUCCCUGAGGAGCAGUGUUCCCACUUUGAACCUCAAAUUCAGGAUAUUAAUUCUGAUGAACCACUUUUUUAAGCUGCACACUUUACUCACACCUCUUAAGCAGCAGUGUCACUAAUCCUAUUCUAGGAGUGGCAGAAUGUAGAAGAUAUAUGAGAAGGUAGGUUGUUAAAUAGGAAAUUGAAAAUAGUGAGUCAUUUCUUUCCUAUCUAGGAGACAAAACACUAGAUUGACUAUACCACAAAGAGAUAAGAUAGUGGUGGUGUGACAUGAUGGGGGGAAAAAAAAGCUGUUCUUUGGAGUUUGACAAGCCAAGAUUCAACUCUCAGUCUCAUCACUGAGGGAUGUGUAACCUUAGGCAAAGAUUCCAAGCCACGGUUUCCUCAUCUCAACAAUGGCAGUGGUGAUAAGUCCCAGCUCCUCUGGUCAUUACUGAUACUUCAUUGGUGGUUUGAAUUAUAUGAACACUCAUGGCUCCACACAUAUUGCCUUUCUCUAUCAAUUGGGCCUCACAAUUGGCAUUCAGGGAACUACCUGGUUACUAUUUUGUCUCUGCUACUGGAAUGAAAAGCUAGUAAAACUUUAUAGGAUAUCCUAAGAUCACCCAGAGAGGAAUCCUGAGACCAGACAAUGCAUGGAGAUGGACUGUGGUUAGAUGAGGGGACAUUUUCUUUCCUGCUGCCUCCUUUCACAAAAGACCCUCAGAGAAUCUCUGCUUCCCAAGUUUAAGAUACUUAACAAGUUUCUGUUGUACAACUUCUCAUUGAAAACUGCCUCAGCAUUUUUGGAGAAGACAUCACUUCCCUCUUGGGGAAGAGCUGAAUGGCUUGUGAAAACAAUGAUGGCUUUAGAUUUGAAACUGGGAGUUCAGAACUCAAAUUUCACUUGCUAAAGAACAAAUAGGAGCACUGAUAAAAAUGUACUUUGAGAUUUUUGUAGGCUCUAUAUGUUAUAAUUUGGAGUAUGGUAUUGUAAAAGCUGGAGAAGAAGUUGUGAAACAGAGAAGAUUCACCUUUGCUGAUUGAAUUGCAUUCAG
rnacentral:lncRNA from 1 species